AGUGAACGCUGGCGGCGUGCCUAAUACAUGCAAGUCGAACGGAGUGGCGCACGGGUGAGUAAUGUAUAGCUAAUCUGCCCUACACUAGAGGACAACAGUUGGAAACGGUUGCUAAUACUCUAUAGUGUAGGAUGAGGCUAUAUUGUAUCAGAUAGUUGGUGAGGUAAUGGCUCACCAAGGCUAUGACGCAUAACUGGUCUGAGAGGAUGAUCAGUCACCCUGGAACUGAGGCACGGUCCGGACUCCUACGGGGGGCAGCAGUAGGGGAUAUUGCUCUAUGGGGGGAACCCUGAAGCAGCAACGCCGCGUGGAGGAUGACACUUUUCGAGGCGUAAACUCCAUUUGUUAGGGAAGCGGUACCUAACGAAUAAGCACCGGCUAACUCCGUGCCAGCAGCCACGGUAAUAC
rnacentral:rRNA from 1 species